GACGAACGCUGGCGGCGUGCCUAAUACAUGCAAGUCGAGCGAUGAAGGAGAUACUUGUAUCUUUUGAAGAGCGGCGAACGGGUGAGUAACGCGUGGGGAAUCUGCCAAUGAGUGGGGGACAACAUUUGGAAACGAAUGCUAAUACCGCAUAAAAUCUAUUGAGACAUCUCAAGAGAUUGAAAGGAACAAUUGUUUCGCUCGUUGAUGAUCCCGCGUUGUAUUAGCUAGUUGGUGAGGUAAGGGCUCACCAAGGCGAUGAUACAUAGCCGACCUGAGAGGGUGAUCGGCCACAGUGGGACUGAGACACGGCCCAAACUCCUACGGGAGGCAGCAGUAGGGAAUCUUCGGCAAUGGACGAAAGUCUGACCGAGCAACGCCGCGUGAGUGAAGAAGGUUUUCGGAUCGUAAAGCUCUGUUGUUGUUAAAGAACGUUGAUGAGAGUGGAAAGUUCAUCUAGUGACGGUAAACAACCAGAAAGGGACGGCUAACUACGUGCCAGCCGCCGCUGUAA
rnacentral:rRNA from 1 species